rnacentral:rRNA from 1 species
UACGGAGGGUGCGAGCGUUGUCCGGAAUCACUGGGCGUAAAGCGCACGUAGGCGGAUUGUUAAGUCAGGGGUGAAAUCCUGGAGCUCAACUCCAGAACUGCCUUUGAUACUGGCGAUCUCGAGUCCGGGAGAGGUGAGUGGAACUGCGAGUGUAGAGGUGAAAUUCGUAGAUAUUCGCAAGAACACCAGUGGCGAAGGCGGACUCACUGGCCCGGUACUGACGCUGAGGUGCGAAAGCGUGGGGAGCAAACAGGG